CCUACGGGGGACAGCAGUGAGGAAUAUUGGUCAAUGGGCGAGAGCCUGAACCAGCCAAGUCGCGUGAGGGAGUACUGCCCUAUGGGUUGUAAACCUCUUUUGUCGGGGAGCAAAAGCCGGACGUGUCCGGCUGUGAGAGUACCCGAAGAAAAAGCAUCGGCUAACUCCGUGCCAGCAGCCGCGGUAAUACGGAGGAUGCGGGCGUUAUCCGGAUUUAUUGGGUUUAAAGGGUGCGAAGGCGGAUUUUUAAGUCAGCGGGAAAAUCGUGGGGCUAACACCCAUCCAGCCGUUGAAACUGGGGAUCUAGAGUGUGCGAGAGGUAUGCGGAAUGCGUGGUGUAGCGGUGAAAUGCAUAGAUAUCACGCAGAACCCCGAUUGCGAAGGCAGCAUACCGGUGCACAACUGACGCUCAGGCACGAAAGCGUGGGUAUCGAACAGGAUUAGAUACCCCAGUAGUC
rnacentral:rRNA from 1 species